ACAUGCAGUCGACGCACUCUUCGGAGUGAGUGGCACACGGGUGAGUAACGCGUGGGAACCUACCUAUCGGUUCGGAAUAACGUUCGGAAACGGACGCUAAUACCGGAUACGUCCUUCGGGAGAAAGAUUUAUCGCCGAUUGAUGGGCCCGCGUUGGAUUAGCUAGUUGGUGGGGUAAUGGCCCACCAAGGCGACGAUCCAUAGCUGGUCUAAGAGGAUGAUCAGCCACACUGGGACUGAGACACGGCCCAGACUCCUACGGGAGGCAGCAGUGGGGAAUAUUGGACAAUGGGCGAAAGCCUGAUCCAGCCAUGCCGCGUGAGUGAUGACGGCCUUAGGGUUGUAAAGCUCUUUCGCUAGGGAAGAUAAUGACGGUACCUAGUAAAGAAGCCCCGGCUAACUUCGUGCCAGCAGCCGCGGUAAUACGAAGGGGGCUAGCGUUGUUCGGAAUUACUGGGCGUAAAGCGCGCGUAGGCGGAUCAUUAAGUCAGGGGUGAAAUCCCGGGGCUCAACCUCGGAAUUGCCUCUGAUACUGGUGGUCUUGAGUCCGUGAGAGGUGAGUGGAACUCCGAGUGUAGAGGUGAAAUUCGUACAUAUUCGGAAGAACACCAGUGGCGAAGGCGGCUCACUGGCUCGGUACUGACGCUGAGGUGCGAAAGCGUGUGGAGCAAACACGAUUAUAUACCCUGCUAGUCCACGCCGUAAACGAUGA
rnacentral:rRNA from 1 species